AUUGAACGCUGGCGGCAGGCCUAACACAUGCAAGUCGAGCGGAUGAACGGUGCUUGCUCCUGGAUUCAGCGGCGGACGGGUGAGUAAUGCCUAGGAAUCUGCCUGGUAGUGGGUUAUAACGUCCGCAAACGGGCGCUAAUACCGCAUACGUCCUGAUGGAGAAAGUGGGGGAUCUUCGGACCUCACGCUAUCAGAUGAGCCUAGGUCGGAUUAGCUAGUUGGUGGGGUAAAGGCCUACCAAGGCGACGAUCCGUAACUGGUCUGAGAGGAUGAUCAGUCACAUUGGAACUGAGACACGGUCCAGACUACUACGGGAGGCAGCAGUGGGGAAUAUUGGACAAUGGGCGAAAGCCUGAUCCAGCCAUGCCGCGUGUGUGAAGAAGGUCUUCGGAUUGUAAAGCACUUUAAGUUGGGAGGAAGGGCAGUAAGUUAAUACCUUGCUGUUUUGACGUUACCAACAGAAUAAGCACCGGCUAACUUCGUG
rnacentral:rRNA from 1 species